AAAUGCUGUCAAGCAUGGCUUCAAAGUCAGUACUUUGCAUGUGGACAUCCAGUUUCCAUGUGCCAUGUAUUUGAGGAGACUGUACUUUUCCCAUUGAAUGACCUUGUCAAAAUUCAUUUGACUGCAUACAUAAUGGUUUAUUUCUGGACUGUGUAGUUUAUCCCAUUAGACUAUAUGUCUAUCUUUAUGCCAUGCUAUUUGAAUUAUUAUAUCUUUGUACUAUGUUUUGAAAUCAGGAAGUGUCAGUCCUCUCAUUUUGUUCUUAAUUUUCAAGAUUGCUCUAGCUAUUCAGGAUCCUUGAGUUUCCAUGGGAAUUUUAGACUAUGUUUUUCUCUUUCUGCACAACAUAUUAUUGUGGUUUUUAUAGAAUUACACUGAAUCUAUGGAUCACUUGGAAUUUUAACUAUUGACAUUUAUUAUUGACAUUUUAACAAUAUUAAGGUUUAUAAUCGAUGUACAUAUUAAGACUUGCAAUCCAUGCCUUUAGCAGUUCCUGCUAUCCUUCUUUUCUAUUUUCUAUGGAAAGAGCUCAUUCUUCUUUGUAGUCUCCUUCCAUGGUAAGUUGUAACUGCCAAGGAGACAGGAAGUUGUUUUGUAUAAUGCACCCCUACCUCCAGGUCACAUCAAAUAAACAUAAAAAAUGAGUGAAAUGAGAGUAUUAAUUAUGCAAACAUAGCUCUAAAAUGAUUUCCCUAGUUCCCUCUUCAAAACAUGUACUAGAGCCAUUUCAUUUCUUAGAAAAUUUGUCUGUGAUUUUUGCAAGAAUAACAGAUUGGCAGAGAAAAUUCACUGUAAUAAAAACAACAGGUUAUAUAGAGAAGGCAACGUCUCAAAGGUCCAUUAAGGAUUCUAUCUCAUGAAUCAUAUGAAAUUGCCAAUAUUUGAUCCUUUUGACCUAUAAGAAAAUGUAGUCUUGUAUACAUAGUUUAACCAAGAAGUAGGUUUGAUGGAUGCUCAGGUAGUAUUUCUAAGAACUCUAAUGGUUAUCAUCUCAUCAAAAGUCUCCUUUUCUACACUCUGCCAUCAAUAUUAUUCAGCAAAUCUCUUUGACUCUACUUUUUUGUAAAUAAUUUCAUUGGCUGCUCCCUUUACAAACUAGUAAAAUCUCAACAUACAUUUGUAUGUGAUUCCAUAAAAAGAGAAUUUAACUGAUGUAUCCAUUUACCACUGCCACCUUGGGGCAGAGACUUAUAACCAGAUAAAAAAAUCUUUAUUGAAUUUUAAAUUAUAUCAAAAUCUAUUUGAGGUGAUCAUUGAUGUUAGAUGUUUCAACUUCAUAUUCUAUAGAUAUCAAAGACAGAUAAUUUUUCCAAUUUACGUAAUUAGAUUUAUAUUUAUGCAUAGAAUUUUUCCUGGAAAUAAUUCCACAUUUUUAAGUUAUCCAGUACUGUGUAAUUGGUAUGUUGUACUUAAUUAACCGGUUAGCAGUAUAAUGCAAACAAGACCCUCAUUCCAAAAUCAAACCUUAAUAAAAUAUCAGAUAAUAUAUGAAGGAAAUUAGUGUAGAUUUAUUAAGUAAAACAGUACACAUUUUGCAGUGAAAUUUAGAGAUUAAAUAUGUCCUUGGGUCAUUGAAUUCUUUUUUAUCAUUAAUAUUUUAGAUUGUGAUAUCUAUCUUUUACUUUGUAUAGACUAAUAUUAACUUCAAGCAAUACUUUGUAACUGUGCACAUCUGAAUCUUCUCUUUUGUUGAGACUGUAUGCAUAGAAAUCAGGUGAAUGCUGGGAGAGGUUUACUGACUUUGCCUUUUAUGUUGCUCUCCUGUGUGAUGUUCGACCCUGCUCCGUAUGCAAUAAUACAACAAAAGUUCCAAAACAAAACUGAACAUGAAUAAGCCCCAUUCAAUCAAGCAUGGUAGAGGGGAAAUACAGGUUCUCUAAGAAUCCUGGGAGCUAGGUUGACAUCCUUAAGAACCCUAGGAACUCUGAGCAUCUGUCUCCUGACCUAUAAAAAUGAAAUAUGGAUUUUUGCUACAUCUAAUUCAUAGAGUUGAUGUGGUGACAAAAGAGGUGAUGGUGAAAGAAUACUGUUAAGAAAUUGUUGUGAAAUAUACAAAGAGGUCUGUUAUUCAUAGAUGAGGAAAUUUAUUAACUCUAAAUAUCUAAUUAAUUGUAGAACAUUUAAAAAAAUUCCAUGCACUUCUUUCUUUGAAAUUUUAUGGAGAAUGGUACAAACCUGAGGACAAUGGUUAGAGUCAUAUCACCUGUGUUUAAAAAACGUUAGUGUAAAUUAUUCCUGUGCAAUUUAGUUCAGUUCUUGGUCUGGCUCUGGUGCAAGGGGAGAAUAAUUAUCUAUACCUGUAGCAGACAUUUACAUCAUGACAUGCCAUGCUAUUAUUAGAUCUUGUCAUUAGCUGGGUUUUAUCUGAGUCAUGCAAACAUAAUUCUUUACAUAAUAUCCUGAUUUUCUAGGUGUUUAGUCAUCUCUUUUCCUUUCUACUGUACAGUUUUUUAAAUUUCUAUUAAGUUUGAGACACCGAAUGUGGAAAUACUAUUCAACUAACAACAAGACCAAGGAUAAUUGUAAUUCCCCCACAUUCUCUCGGUAGUAUUCAUUUUUAAUAUUUGAGACUCAUGCUUGAUAAUAACUUUAUCAAAUAAUUUUUGGUUAUCUUCCACCACCUGUUUCCCUAAAGUGGGAAAAUAUAUAAGCCUCAUAUUGAUAUAUUUACAUGCUAUCAUUUUUCCUAUAUUGCUUUACUAUGUAAGUGCCUUGUUAUUUUGCUCCCAACUUAGCUUCCUUUUGAGGUUGGAAUUAUUGGUUAGUAGUAUUAUGAAAGGCCUCACAUUUAUUAUUCAGUUACAGUACACAAAUAAUAUAAAAUAUGGGCUGACAUGGAAUUGCAUUUUUAUUAACAAUAGUGGCUAAACUUUUGAUGAAAAAAAAUUAAUGCCAUGGUUACUCGUUUUAGCAAAACCCAAACAUCUUUGCUCAUUUCUAGGGAAGAAAAUGGUCAGUGGGGCCUUCGUAUUUUCCUUGCAAGGUUAUCAUUGUUAUCUUUGAGGACUCCUUGGCCUUUCUUUUUGGCCACAAGAUCAUUCACACACAUAGUAGUUUGUAGAUAAUGCAUUCAAUAUGCAAGUGGUGAAUUCUGAUAUAUAACCAAUUCCAGAAAGAAAAAAAAAAUUCUUUUUAAGUAAUAAAAACCAAUGAUAAACACACCCUAUUUAAUAUAUUUGAAACAUAUUACACAAUAAUAACCAAAUAGCCUCAUCCCAUUUAUAUGAACCUGUCUUUCACUUCAUAGCUUAUAAGUACGUUGUGUAUUUUUGAAAAAUAUACACCAAACUUUUCAGUAAUACUUCAAAGAACUUUCCCUCCAACACAGAAUUCCUCUAUAAUUACCUAGAAAUAUUUUUAUUAGUUCUGACUCUAUAAAGUUUAGCAGGAUAAUAAAGAUGUCUGCAUAAAGGAAUUUUUCAUAGUUUGGAAAAAAAUUGCUACCAUCUCCUCUCAGGAAGUUUUAGUUAUAUUAGGAGACAACUGUAACCUCAAACCACAACGAAAAGGAAACUGGCUGAAUGCGAUAAAUGUUAAGUAGAGGUGUGGAAAAUCCUUAAGAGGUGAAAAUUUAGAAUUUCACCUAGGCACUGAAAGCAGCAGUGGUUAACAAAUCCCCCUACGUACUUUUGCGUUCUAGAAAAAUGGCUUACCGCAAAGAACCAUCCUUUCCCGUAUCAUUUACUUACACUUGCUCCUCAGUCUUUCUCACGGCCCCCGUAAGUCUCGUGGAUACCACUUUUCCUUAUCUACGAAGACUAAACACAGAGUUUUAGCCUUUUGCCUAAACACAACAAGGCCAGACACAGACCUUCCAAUCCUUUGUCUCUUGAAUAAUAAGCAGAAC
rnacentral:lncRNA from 1 species